AGUGUUUUGCAGCGCCCUUUCUUAUACCUUCAUGACUCUCUAUUCGGCUAUAUAAUAACACCUAUAUAUAACAUCCAUUUUUCCUACAUCUGAUAACCUAAUCCUUUUUCGCCCAUAAGUCAUGAAGUUUUUCUAAUAUUUUUCUUUUUCAAUUUUAUCUGCCGUAAUCCUAUUUCGCAUUAACUAUUCUUUUUCUUUUUAAUUAACGCAAUUUUCUUUUUUCAGGAAAGUGACGACGAUUUA
rnacentral:lncRNA from 1 species